rnacentral:lncRNA from 1 species
AAUUUUUUAUUUUUUGGUCAUUUACACAAUACAAGCAAAAAACCUAAGAGAAGACAACUAAAACUCUCAUGGCUGCCAUAUCUUCCUAAACCUUGGAACACAUAGGAAAACCCUAAAGAACAAAAAAACCUAGAGACAGCCGCUACAAUGCAGAUCACCCUCGCACCCCCCAUCAUAUUCUCCAAAUGACCCUAACGUCGCCAGUCAGAUACCCUCCAACUCCACGCCGGUGAACGACCACCCACCUUCAGCCGCAGAACACAAACCCUUUUAUCUCCAUCGCUAGACAGAACCAAAUCUGACCGGAAACAUGUAAUUCCUAUGACUCUCCAAUGUGUCUGGCAAAGCAGGUGUUCGAACCAACAGCUCUCGUCCUCUAUUCAUCUUUUAAAAAUAGCAGCAAACCCCAAAAUUCUCGUCGUCUUUUCAAAACUUUGGUCGUCAUUACUCAAUCAUUAAUUUUGGGGAUUGAGUUUAAAAUUUUGUCGAGUUUUAGGGGUUCUUGUUCGAGGUUCGAGGUUCUAGUUCGAUGAGGGCCUGCGUUGAGGCUCUCCGUCUAAUUGAGGUCCGUUCGAGAUGGUCUGUUGGUUUUGGUCGGGGUUCAAUCGAGUCCGAGUUUGUUGUUCUAAGUUCGUCGAGGUCUGGUCAAGGUUCAACCGUGUUUUGCUGUUGUUCGACGAGCUGUCCGUGUGUAAUAACGAAAGGUUCUAUUCGAGUUUUCUCCGGUGCAUCUCCUGUUUUGCCGAGUGUAUUUCCUACUGAAUCCUAUUUUGUAAAUCAAUGUUUUUUGAGAUAACUAAGGUGCAGAUUCGAGUUUCCAUCCGCGGUUCGUUACAUUUUCGAGUUCAUAAUAGUGAAGCAAUCAAUUUUUCGGCUAUAUUGAGGUCUAAUUCUCUUAUCCUUUUAUCCAUUUUAUCCAAAGCUUAAUGUUAAAUGUUUGUUUGGUGGUAUGAUUAUGUUAUUUGUGUGAUUGUUAUCCGUAGUUUCGAAUUUACUUGUUGGUUAUAGCUGAACAUGAUUUUAUCACAUUAUAGAAAUCGGGUGGUUGGGUAAAAGUAAAAGAGAUUUAGGUCUAGGAUAAAUUAUAUUGUCCUUUAUUCUUGUUUCUUUACUUUAUUUUCAGUACACAUUCCGCUAGGAGCAUGCUUAGGCCGACCGCACUUGGGUAGGCAAAUGUUAGUAUUUUAUUAGCUUUGAGGUGAGAGGUCGUUUCCCAUAGUUAAAUUUAUCCGAGGAAUGCCCCGAAGAAUUUGUAUAUAUUGUUAUCCGGGGUAUGCCCCGAAGCAUCAUAUAUUUGGAGGCUGUGACGAACACUGUGGAGGAAGUACAAUUUAGGCUAGCUUUUUUUUUAUUAGGUGGGACGACCUCGAGCUCUUAUGUGUUUGCUUUUUUUUUUUUUUUGCUUUUUUUUUUCUGUUUUUAGUUAUACCUCAAUCGAAUAUUUUAAAAGCCAACUAGAUCGAGUAUGCAAUUAUGACCUUCACGGGACUUGGGGAGUGCCUAACACCUUCUCCCCGAUUCAAAUGGAACCCCUUACCCAAAUCUCUGGUAUAAACUUAGUUUUAGAGUCUCAAAUGUUUUGAAAGAAAAAAUAGUUUUUAAAAAACGAUGGCCUGGCACACCGAAAAUCAAAUGCCAGGUGGCUACUCUGAGUUUAUUCUCUUUUCAAAUAAAAUUUGGUCAUGUUCAAAAUUCAAAACACAUUUUCAAGCUUUUACUAAAUUCUUUUAUUAACUUUAAAAGGGUUUAAUAGAGUUGGUUUAGAAAAUGGGUGAGACAGUAACUACCUAUUGUUAUUAGUUUUUCAAAGAUGGCUUCAAAUGAACAGACUUAGUUUAAAGUCCAAGUGUUUUUAAAAGGAGAAAUAUUUACUAAAAAACGGUGGCCUGGCUCACCGAAAUCAAAUGCCAGGUGGCGACUCUGAGUUAUUUUCUUUUGAAAACCAUUUUUGUCACUUUUAAUUGAAAACCCUUUUCAAGCUUUUACUAAAAUCUUUUUAUUUAUUUAAGAGGGUUAAGUGAGAGUUUGUGUUAAAAAGUGGGUGUGACAUCUCUGAAGACUCUGCGGGGACUUGCGAGUUCGAGCUAGUACUUGAUUUUAUUGGCUUUUUAAGAUAUUCGGUUGAGGUUUUUAUGCGUUUUAUUUGCUUUAUUUUAUUUUUAUUUUGUUUAUGUCAUUUUAUUAUUUUCUAGUUGCAUAUUUCUUUUGAGUUUUUCCUUUAUGUGUUUUCUUCUUUAUAAAUUGUCAUCAUUUGCAUAACCAUGUGUCUUCUUUCUGCAACAAGUCUCGGAGCACGCGUCGCGUGCACGAACUCUUUUUGAGUCACCCUUAAUUUAGGGGAGGGGGGUGGGGGGCGUCGGACGUAUGGAGUGGGUGCAAAGCUUGAGCAGCCACUAUCGAAUUUGUGGUGUCACUCUUAAGUUAGGAGGGGGGCCGUCGGACAUAUGGAGUGGGUGGAAAGUUUGAGCAGCCAUCAUCGAUCAUACGCUCGCCCGAAUUGCCUCGUUAGUGAACCCAAAACGAAGGUCAGUCUUUAGGUCUUUUUUAUUUGCAUCAUGUUAUUUACACCUAGUAGGGCUCGGUCCCAGGUACCGUGUCCUUUUGUAGGGAGCAUGUCCAAAUAAAAAAUGAGCAUGUUUCCAAAAAUGAUAUUUAAUCAUCCUAUGGGCUAAAAAUUGCAUCUAUGAGCGUAAAAAGGUCAUUUGCUGGACCAAUAUUUGGAAAGAAAUGUGAAAAAUGAAGCAAGUAGGGUCCACUCAUUUUUUUUCUUUCAUAGUUUUCCAAAAAAAAUCAAAAAAAGUGAAAAAGAAAAAAUCCAAAAAAAAAUUUACACUUUUUUAUUAUUUUCCAAAAAUCCAAAAAAAAAGAGAAAAUCUAAAAAGAUUUUACAUUUUUCAUCACUUUCCAAAAAUUUAAAAAAAAAAAGAGAGGGAGAGAGAGAGAAAAGAAAAUCCAAAAAGAUUUUACAUUUUAUAUCAUUUUCCAAAAAACAACAACAACAACCCAGUAUAAUCCCACUUAGUGGGGUCUGGAGAGGGUAGUAUGUAUGCAGACCAUACCCCUACCCUGAGGUAGAGAGGCUGUUUCCAAAUAGACCCCCGGCAUCCUUCCCUCCAAGANNNNNNNNNNNNNNNNNNNNNNNNNNNNNNNNNNNNNNNNNNNNNNNNNNNNNNNNNNNNNNNNNNNNNNNNNNNNNNNNNNNNNNNNNNNNNNNNNNNNNNNNNNNNNNNNNNNNNNNNNNNNNNNNNNNNNNNNNNNNNNNNNNNNNNNNNNNNNNNNNNNNNNNNNNNNNNNGGGGGGGGGGGGGGGGGGGGUUGCUUACCAUCAGAGCAACCCCUCUUGUCUAAUCAUUUUCCAAAAAGUUUUUAUAAAAAAAAAAAAGAAUAGGAGAUAAAGAAAAUCCAAAAAGAGUUUACACUUUUCAUCAUUUUUCAAAAAAGACAAAAUAUAAUUUUUUUUAAAUUAGUUGCAUCUUCCCGAACUACGCGAACCUGAUUCUCGUCUUUCGGGGUGAGAUACGUAGGCAACCCACAUAUGGUCCGGUAUUCCUAGUAAGUCUAAGGUUAUUGGCUUUGCGGGGUCUUAGCCAAAUCUUGCAUGUCUAGCCACUCUUGACCACAUCGGCUAUUCUUGAAAAAUGGGGUUAUUUUUGCAAAAGUGGUUCAAUAACCCAUGUCUUAGGAUCUUUUGUCCACAACUAGGUAUCAUAUUAUUGUAAGGUCCGACCUUUUUGAGUUUGCAUCUUCAGCCACUUCUGGCCAUAUCGGCCGUUUUUACGGAACGGGUUAUUUCUGCAACUUAAUUUUUGGACCAUAAUAAUUGGGAGUUGAAUCCAUAUAAGCCUUAGUGAUAUAUUUUUCAUGUAUUUGAGGUCACCUUAGUUGAGUUUGCACUACUAGCCAUCCUUUGCCACUAGGUUAAUUUUAAAAAAAAAAUCGCUCAAUCGUGUCUUGCAUAUGUCCAAUAGAAAGUGUUGUGGUGUCACAAAGUGUCUUGAGUCAUUGAUUUUUUUAGUAUUAUUUUUCUCAUUCAGGUGUGGAUUCAUUUACCAGGACUCGAGCAUUACAGAUACCUCGGGAUCAUCACAUUUGGGAGCUGUUUGAAGAGACUUUUUAUUUUGAAUCUGUUUUUUUUAUUUUUGUUUUCUAGUCUUGCUUGGUAUCAUUUGAUCUUUAAGUUGAUGUAAUAAUUUUUCGUAGUAUAGUUGAGUUUGACGAGUCUCGCGUCAUGAUAUUUCUUGUUUUGCAUUUGAAAAACCAAAAAUGUUAUAAAUGAAAAAUUCAAUAAUAUUUUUAUUUUUAGUU